UGGCUAUGAUGAUUACCCACCCCGCGGUUUCUACCGGAUUCUUCAUGACGGUUAAACCAACCUUCCUUGGAUGUCUGAGCCA
rnacentral:sRNA from 14 species